AAUGGGGGUUGAGAGGAGCAGUGAGAGGUGAAAAGAGCAGCCAGAUCUUUGUUUUCUCAGCUUUCCUGAGCUGUCAUUCACAGGCAACAUUGUAUCCUUUGAAGCCUGUGGGACGAGAUGGUUUGAUACACUUGUCUGUUGCAAAACGAUUCCCGCCAUAGUGUUAGCUGGUAUUUCCGUCCUCGGGCGGGCUCGCCAUUUCUUUUUUGUGCUGCGAACAUUUAAGACCAGUCUCCUAGCAACUUUCCAGUACAUAAUACGGUCUGAUUAACUGUAAUCACCGCGCUGUACCUCAGAUGUCUAGAACUUACACGCGCAAAUUUCUACCCUUUGACCAGCGUCUCCCCAAUUAGCAGCAGCCAGAUCUUGAAGAGGCUUGCCAAGUACCACAGGACUCUGGACUUACUUUCAUCCCGAGCACAACGAGAAAUACACAACCCAUAUACGUAGGGAAAAAAAAGACCUCACGCCACCACGUUGACUCACGGUUCGUUUCGUAAUUCGCAGCGUGGGUAGCUUACGGGUCUGGAAGCAAUGUCACCUACAGUGAGUCACAGGGCCGCAGGGCUGAGAGACGUCAAAGGUGUUAUGCCCGAGUUCCCGGGAGAGGGAUUGGCUUCCGAGGAAGAGCGACAAUGGAGGGAAGACCGGCCCGUUGCGGGCUGAACAGGGAGCGGCAUGGGGGUAACUUUCUGAGCCCCUGUUAUGUUUGGGGGGCACACUUCACACUGGAGGCACAAAGGAAAAUUCGAUGCCAGGAGGACAAAUCGGAGAAGCUCAAGGGGGAGCUAGCUAAUAUGCCAGCACAUGUCCCGAGAACUGACUGAAGUACGGGGACCUUUGGGCACCUACAGCUUGGAGGGAAAGAUGCGUUUGGGCAGGUGG